UUUUUUUUAACUGAAGAUAAGAAUAUCAAAUUCUUUUUUAUGUUGAUCUAGUGAAUGAACACUGGUAUCCUUACUCAACUGUAAGCCAGAAUAUCUUGAAAGCCAAAAAGUUGAUAAACCUAGAAAUCUGAAAAGUUCUUCAUACAGGCUUUUAAAAAUCAUAGGUACUAAAAAAACAACAACAAAAAACAUGGCAGGAAGGUGAGGAUUGGGUGCCGGUAGAUGAUUACCUUCUACAUAAGAAAAAAAUUGAGAUUACUAUAGCACCUAUCAUUGCCUGGCAGCAACUAACAAUAUCAAAAAUGCUAUUGUUGAUUACAAUUUAACUCUCACAAAAUGACUCCAGUCUUACAAAACAACUCAGCAUGGAAGAUGGAAGAAAUGCAUUUCUACCCACCAAUACAUAUGUCUGUGGAGGAGGAGCCAUGUGAGGUAGAAAACUAUGGGAGUGAGCCUGGCAGCAGAUUCUUCAGCCCCAGUCUGACCUUGAGAUGACUGCAACCUUGGGGAAGACCUUGAGCCACAGGUACCCCACUAAGAGGUCUGGACUCCUGGCUGGUAGAAACUUGUUUUCCAUUGGCCCUCAUGGGUUGCCUACCAAGGCACCUGCCCAGCUGACCAUCCCUUCCCUUGACUUUGAUUCUGAGGGGAGCUAGAGUGGAGCACAGAGCUACCCUCAUCUGAGAACUGAGAAGCAAAGCCUCAGAAUAGAACUUUGUGAAGUUGCUGUAAACUUUUGGGAAACAAGGUAUGUGGGGGACUAUUUGGAAUGAGUUAGCACAUGGGACCGGUUGGAAUUUAAGAUAAGUCUUUAUGAAAGCAAAUGUCAAGGAAGGUUGGAAAGGA